GACGAACGCUGGCGGCGUGCCUAAUACAUGCAAGUCGAACGCAGUGGGGACGGGUGAGUAACACGUGGGUAACCUCCCAUCAGAGGGGAUAACACUUGGAAACAGGUGCUAAACCGAUACUGAUGGAUGGACCCGCGGUGCAUUGGCUAGUUGGUGGGGUAACGGCUCACCAAGGCCACGAUGCAUAGCGGACCUGAAGGGGUGAUCGGCCACACGGGAACUGAGCAACGGCCCAGACUCCUACGGGGGGAAGCGGGAGGGAAUCUUCGGAAAUGGACGAAAGUCUGACCGAGCAACGCGGGGUGAGUGAAGAAGGUUUUCGGAUCGUAAAACUCUGUUGUGAGAGAAGCGGUAUCUAACAAGAAAGCCACGGCUAACUACGUGCCAGCCGCGGCGGUAAUA
rnacentral:rRNA from 1 species